AACGAACGCUGGCGGCAGGCCUAACACAUGCAAGUCGAGCGAGGACUUCGGUCCUAGCGGCGGACGAGUGAGUAACGCGUGGGAACGUGCCCUUUGCUUCGGAAUAGCCCUGGGAAACUGGGAGUAAUACCGGAUGAGCCCUUUGGGGGAAAGAUUUAUCGGCGAAGGAUCGGCCCGCGUUGGAUUAGGUAGUUGGUGGGGUAAUGGCCUACCAAGCCGACGAUCCAUAGCUGGUUUGAGAGGAUGAUCAGCCACACUGGGACUGAGACACGGCCCAGACUCCUACGGGAGGCAGCAGUGGGGAAUCUUAGACAAUGGGGGAAACCCUGAUCUAGCCAUGCCGCGUGAGCGAUGAAGGCCUUAGGGUUGUAAAGCUCUUUCAGCUGGGAAGAUAAUGACGGUACCAGCAGAAGAAGCCCCGGCUAACUCCGUG
rnacentral:rRNA from 1 species